UACGAAGGUCCCGAGCGUUGUUCGGAAUCACUGGGCGGAAAGGGAGCGUAGGCGGCGCGGUAAGUCAGAUGUGAAAUCCCGGGGCUCAACCCCGGAACUGCAUCCGAUACUGCCGUGCUAGAGGAUUGGAGAGGUAGUUGGAAUUCUCGGUGUAGCAGUGAAAUGCGUAGAGAUCGAGAGGAACACUCGUGGCGAAAGCGAGCUACUGGACAAUAUCUUACGCUGAGGCUCAAAGGCCAGGGUAGCGAAAGGG
rnacentral:misc_RNA from 1 species